rnacentral:rRNA from 1 species
AGCGAACGCUGGCGGCAGGCCUAACACAUGCAAGUCGAACGAACCUUUCGGGGUUAGUGGCGGACGGGUGAGUAACACGUGGGAACGUGCCUUUAGGUUCGGAAUAACUCAGGGAAACUUGUGCUAAUACCGAAUGUGCCCUUCGGGGGCAAGAUUUAUCGCCUUUAGAGCGGCCCGCGUAUGAUUAGCUAGUUGGUUGAGGUAAUGGCGCACCAAGGCGACGAUCAGUAGCUGGUCUGAGAGGAUGAUCAGCAACAUUGGGACUGAGACACGGCCCAAACUCCUACGCGAAGCAGCAGUGGGGAAUCUUGCGCAAUGGGCGAAAGCCUGACGCAGCCAUGCCGCGUGAAUGAUGAAGGUCUUAGGAUUGUAAAAUUCUCUCACCGGGGACGAUAAUGACGGUACCCGGAGAAGAAGCCCCGGCUAACUUCGUG